rnacentral:rRNA from 1 species
ACGUAGGGCGCAAGCGUUGUCCGGAAUUAUUGGGCGUAAAGAGCUCGUAGGCGGCUUGUCACGUCGAUUGUGAAAGCUCGGGGCUUAACCCCGAGUCUGCAGUCGAUACGGGCUAGCUAGAGUGUGGUAGGGGAGAUCGGAAUUCCUGGUGUAGCGGUGAAAUGCGCAGAUAUCAAGAGGAACACCUGAGGUGAAGACGGGUUGCUGGGCCGACACUGACGCUGAGUGCGCGAAAGCCAGGGGAGCAAACGGGA